rnacentral:rRNA from 1 species
CCUACGGGUGGCAGCAGUGGGGAAUAUUGCACAAUGGGGUAAACCCUGAUGCAGCGACGCCGCGUGAAGGAAGAAGUAUUUCGGUAUGUAAACUCCUAUCAGCAGGGAAGAAAAUGACGCUACCUGACUAAGAAGCCCCGGCUAACUACGAGCCAGCAUCCGCGGUAAUACGUAGGGGGCAAGCGUUAUUCGGAUUUACUGGGUGUUUAGAGAGCGUUGGUGGCGAUGCAAGUUAGAAGUGAAAGCCCGGGGAUCAACUCCGGGACUGCUUUUGAAACUGUGUUGCUAGAUUGCAGGAGAGGUAAGUGGAAUUCCUAGUGUAGCGGUGAAAUGCGUAGAUAUUAGGAGGAACACCAGUGGCGAAGGCGGCUUACUGGACUGUAAAUGACGCUGAGGCUCGAAAGCGUGGGGAGCAAACAGGAUUAGAUACCCCUGUAGUC